rnacentral:rRNA from 1 species
CAAUAGCGUAUAUUAAAGUUGUUGCGGUUAAAAGCUCGUAGUUGGAUUUCUGUUGAGGAUGGGCGGUCCGCACAUCGUGCGUGUAUCUGUUACAGCCUCGGCAUCCUCUUGAAGAACGAACUGUGAUUUAUUUCGUGGUUCGGAAUUCAAGACUUUUACUUUGAGGAAAUUAGAGUGUUCACGGCAAGCAAUCGCUUUGAAUACAUUAGCAUGGAAUAAUAAUAUAGGACCUUGGUUCUAUUUUGUUGGUUUCUAGGACCGAAGUAAUGAUUAAUAGGGACAGUGGGGGCAUUCAUAUUCCAAUGUCAGAGGUGAAAUUCUUGGAUUAUCGGAAGAUGAACUUCUGCGAAAGCAUCUGCCAAGGAUGUUUUCAUUGAUCAAGAACGAAAGUUAGGGGAUCGAAGACGAUCAGAUACCAU